AGUGAACGCUGGCGGUAGGCCUAACACAUGCAAGUCGAACGGCAGCACAGUAAGAGCUUGCUCUUACGGGUGGCGAGUGGCGGACGGGUGAGGAAUACAUCGGAAUCUACUUUUUCGUGGGGGAUAACGUAGGGAAACUUACGCUAAUACCGCAUACGACCUACGGGUGAAAGCAGUGGAUCUUCGGACCUUGCGCGAUUGAAUGAGCCGAUGUCGGAUUAGCUAGUUGGCGGGGUAAAGGCCCACCAAGGCGACGAUGCGUAGCUGAUCUGAGAGGAUGAUCAGCCACACUGGCACUGAGAAACGGUCCAGACUCCUACGGGAGGCAGCAGUGGGGAAUAUUGGACAAUGGGCGAAAGCCUGAUCCAGCCAUACCGCGUGGGUGAAGAAGGCCUUCGGGUUGUAAAGCCCUUUUGUUGGGAAAGAAAAGCAGAAGGUUAAUACCCCGCUGUUCUGACGGUACCCAAAGAAUAAGCACCGGCUAACUUCGUG
rnacentral:rRNA from 1 species